rnacentral:tRNA from 1 species
GCCUGACUGGCUUAGUUGGUGGAGUGUGAGACUCUUGAUCUCAGAGUGGUGAGUUCAAGCCCUGUGUUGGGUG